rnacentral:rRNA from 1 species
UACGUAGGGGGCAAGCGUUGUCCGGAUUUAUUGGGCGUAAAGAGCUCGUAGGCGGUCUGUCGCGUCGGAUGUGAAAACUCGGGGCUCAACCCCGAGCCUGCAUUCGAUACGGGCAGACUAGAGUUCGGUAGGGGAGACUGGAAUUCCUGGUGUAGCGGUGAAAUGCGCAGAUAUCAGGAGGAACACCGGUGGCGAAGGCGGGUCUCUGGGCCGAUACUGACGCUGAGGAGCGAAAGCGUGGGGAGCGAACAGG